rnacentral:lncRNA from 1 species
GGGACUCGGUGCGUGGCUUUGUACUGCCCAGCGGGCUCUGGGGCUCAAGCCACCAUCAUCCAUCAGCAGGCGACAUCUAAAUUCGCCCUCUCCCCCACCUUCCCAUCCCACCUGGGGAGACUGAGAAGCUGCAGGUGCUGAGGAGGAGGGAGACACACGAAGGGCUCCAGCCAAAGGAUUCACCCCAUUCGGAAUGAAGAGGCUGCAGCGGAAGGAGCACUUUUUGUUUCCUCAGGUGAACACAUCUCUAAGGGCCCCCUCCAGCUGACCUUCUGGAUUAGUGACCCCGUCACACGGAGGGGUUGUGGAUCUUGGUGCUGUUCCAAGUCCUUCCAAAGAGGUCAUCUGGGGCUUCCCACAACCAAGCACCUCCUCCAGGCCCCAGUACAUCCCAGCUGCUCUCAGAUACUGCCGGACCCUGGCCCCACUGUCACCAAGGGAGGCCCAAGCCCUUGCUGGGGUAUGUAGGCCUCCCUGUCACCACAGGGAAGAAGAGCGUCUCCGAGGGACAGACCGACAAAGGCGUCUUCCUGUCCCAGUGAUUUGUGGUUGCAGGAGGUAUUGAACGAGUGACAGCUGAGGGGCUGGGAGGAGGUGGGUAUGGGGGAGAGGUGGGCAGGAUGGGAUCAGCAGGAGUCCCUGGCUGGCGCCUGCAAAGGGACCAAGCAUUACGCAAGGGGUGCUGCUGAGAGCAGGCAGCACGCUGAGAAGAUGACCACGUUCCUGCCCUCUCCCAGGCUCCAGCCAGCCCCACCCUGGGUUUUGGCACUGGGAUUGUGGGUUCCAGAGAAACAGCUAGAAGAAAACUCAUGACAUUCUUAAAGUAGAAGCUUCCAGAGGCCAGAAGGCAAGGCCAGGAGACCCUUUAGGCCCUCCAGCCAGAGUCAUUGCCAGGCUCCCAGCCUCACAUUCCCCUUCCACUCCUACCCCAGUGGAAACGUGGCCUCCUCUGACCAGGGCACCUUCCUGGCUAACCCCA